ACACACAACAACAGUACGGAGAGAGGACAUCGGAUCAGUGCUGUAGGACGCCGCAAUCGCGUCGAAAACAAAGCCAGCUCAAUGCACACAUCCCAUCAGCCGUGGAUAACUGACGGUCAGCACUGAAUAAUAAAGAUGCGAAGCAGAAAACGGGAACGCGCGUGGCACCGUGCGCGGGCCCUGCGCCCCCCACCCCACCCCCACCCUCUCUGCCUCUCCUCAGUGCAGUGGAAACGGUCCUGAUGGCUCGCUGUGGGCUGUCAUCAGGACACCGCAAAAGUGUUUCUCGCUGAUUACCUCUGGUGAAAAAGUAACUGGGAAAUCCUUUGAUAAAAAUUAGAGGGUAGAUAGGUGCAUCGCAGCAAAUGUAUACAGGGUUGUAGCAAGGUUUCACUUAUUGCAUGUAAACAUCAACAAAUCAAACAACCUAAAGAUCACCUAACCCAUCAUAAAAUAUUGCUGAUGCAAUGUAAAUUCAAAUAGGAAACCAUAAUCUAGACCACGACCUCCUGUGUUUGUGUUAUGCUUAUGUUAUGUGUAUGUGUGUGUAUGUGUUUCCUUUAUUUAUGCCAUGUUUCUGCUCUGUUACAGCCAUCACACCGGAGCCGCUCAGGCUUGUUUGUAACAGUAGUGACUCAUGAAAGACUUUUGCUCACAUUCCUGGCAGAGGUUAGCUCAGCACUGUAAAUUGAUGCUCCAAGAUAACAUGGUUUCCGUUAAGAAAUGCACCUAAAUGGGCCCCGUCCUGGAUGAUUUGUGGAGGUGGGUGGAAUCGUUCCAUGUUCAAGUUAGUCCUUUCUGGGACAUGCAAGCCCCCCAGGAAUGGUUGAGCGUGUUUCAAGAGGGACAUUUUUACUAGGUGCGCUCGGCUUCCACACAGGAGGGAACACAGGGGCCACAGAUAGUUUCAAGGAAUUUCUUCUUGUAUGUUUGAGAGUUUCUAAUUCUUUAUGGGUACAAAUUAAAGGAGAGAAAAAAAAAACAACCACUCUGAACUGAGCCUCCAGAACAGCUUCAAUGCUCCAUGGCAUUGAAUUUACCAAGUCUCUGGAACUCAACUGGAGAAGAGAAACACCAUCCUUCAAAAGGAUUUUCCCACUCAUCGUUGAGAGUGUCUUGUCAGGUCAAAAUGUCCCGGUGACGGGGGUGCCCUCAUAGCCGAAUGGUUUGGACGCAUACCAUGUGGGCCCUAGUGGUCUGAGCAGGCGGACCCCGGUUCGACCCUUACUGCAUGUCAUUCCCCCACUCUCUCCCUCCCUGUUUCCUGUCUCUCUCACUGCCUUAUCAAUAAAGGCAAAAAAGCCACAAAAAAAGCC